rnacentral:rRNA from 1 species
AGUGAACGCUGGCGGUAGGCCUAACACAUGCAAGUCGAACGGCAGCACAGUAAGAGCUUGCUCUUACGGGUGGCGAGUGGCGGACGGGUGAGGAAUACAUCGGAAUCUACUUUUUCGUGGGGGAUAACGUAGGGAAACUUACGCUAAUACCGCAUACGACGUACGGGUGAAAGCAGGGGAACUUCGGACCUUGCGCGAUUGAAUGAGCCGAUGUCGGAUUAGCUAGUUGGCGGGGUAAAGGCCCACCAAGGCGACGAUCCGUAGCUGGUCUGAGAGGAUGAUCAGCCACACUGGAACGGGGACACGGUCCAGACUCCUACGGUAGGCAGCAGUGGGGAAUAUUGGACAAUGGUCGCAAGCCUGAUCCAGCCAUACCGCGUGGGUGAAGAAGGCCUUCGGGUUGUAAAGCCCUUUUGUUGGGAAAGAAAAGCAGCAGGUUAAUACCCCGCUGUUCUGACGGUACCCAAAGAAUAAGCACCGGCUAACUUCGUG